rnacentral:rRNA from 1 species
UAGGGAAUAUUGGACAAUGGGUGAGAGCCUGAUCCAGCCAUGCCGCGUGCAGGAAGAAGGCGUUAUGCGUUGUAAACUGCUUUUGCCAGGGGAUAAAAUGACCGUGCGCGGUUAAUUGAAGGUACCUGGUGAAUAAGCCACGGCUAACUACGUGCCAGCAGCCGCGGUAAUACGUAGGUGGCAAGCGUUGUCCGGAUUUAUUGGGUUUAAAGGGUGCGUAGGUGGCCCUGUAAGUCAGUGGUGAAAUAUCUCAGCUUAACUGAGAGGGUGCCAUUGAUACUGCAGGGCUUGAGUACAGAUGAGGUAGGCGGAAUUGACGGUGUAGCGGUGAAAUGCAUAGAUAUCGUCAAGAACACCGAUAGCGAAGGCAGCUUACCAAGCUGUAACUGACACUGAGGCACGAAAGUGUGGGGAUCAAACAGGAUUAGAUACCCAAGUAGUCCCUGAGCGGGCUGGCAAGGCGCAU